UACGUUUCACCACCGCUACUUUGCAAAACCCUAGAAAACUCUUCAGACCUUGAAUCCUAAUCCUAAUCUACUCUUCUUGGAUCGUCGCCACCCAAAAGUUGCCUGUAAAGAUUGUAUUCAUGGUAAGUUUCUGUAUCCGAUUCAAAGUUCUUGACAUUUGAUUUUGAUAUUGGUUCUGGAAGAGAGCCACCCCUCUUUUGUUUUACGCAUAAAUCCUCCAUUCUAUGUUUUGAUCUGAAGCUAACUCAAUCCACAAUCAAGGUUUCAAAGAAGAAAUUUAUGGUUUCCAUUUCCCCAUCGAAUUCAUCGUUUCAAAUCUCUAAACCUCUGAUUCGUUGAACCCUAAAUAGUUCCUUCAUUCGCCAAACCCCAAAUCCUUCAUUCGCGAAACCCUAAAUCGUUUCGAUUUCCCUAUCGCUGUGUCUCCUCUUCCUUUACCAGUGAACCCUAAAUCCAUCUCCCCAAACCCUCUCAUCUUCCCCAGCAAUAUUCUGUCAGUAGAUCUAAAUCUGAACAAAUAUUGUAACGACUUGAGGGUUGCCAUGCUAGCGGCUAUGGUUCAUAUUCGAUAGCAAUCGUUGAUUUGGGUGAUCUACGAUCUACUUGAAAAAUCAUCUGGUCAUUUGGAACUCAGAGAGGACCUAGAGCAGGGGAUAGUUGUAGCUGGGCUAAGAUGUAUCAAGAUCAACUCAGCUGAUAAGAUUCUUGAGCUUUUCAAUGUUGGGAACAGUAGGCGCAAAAUUGACAACACAGAUGCGAACGAGACAUCAUCACGGUCUCGUGAACUUUUGGAAAUAACUGUGCUUAGAAAACAGAAAAGGAAAUACCAUAGUCAAGUUAUUUGUGGUAAACUCGCACUUGUGGAUCUUGCUGGGAGGAUUGUUUUCGAAGCCCUAGAUAUGGCAUACAUCUUCCUUCUCAAUGAAGCCUCUUAAAUCUAAACAUUCAAGCAUCAGGUACAAACAUCUCAUAAGAAAAUCCGUUGCAGUUUGAAGGUCUAUUGUAAACUUCACAAACAUCUCAUACGAAGAUUUGUCAGGUACUUUCAUUUGUUUGGGUCUACUCCAUUCCAAUGGAUCGUUAUUGCGAUGUUUACACUUUACAUAUGUAGCAUCUGUUAUACUGCAGGAGAACUAUUGCAUUCUAUUCUAUUUAUAAAAUCUAAGUUUUGCAUGUAGAUUGGUAAUUUCAUUUUUUGUGCACUAUUAUCAUUUCUAAGUGUAACCAUUUUAGGCGAAAGCUGGGGCUGGUUCUGCAACAUUAUCAAUGACGUAUGCAGCAGUUAAGUUUGCAGAUCGCUGUCUCAAGGGCUUAAAAGGAGAUGCUGACAUUAUGGAGUGUGCUUUUAUAGAAUCUCGGGUUUGGUUUGGAAGAAGUUAAAAAAGAGUUGGCAGGAAGCAUUGAGAAAGGAGUUUGUACCUUAAAUAGAUGUAUCAGAAUACCUAUUUAUACAUGUGCAGGAACUAGAUGGAACCAAAAAUGAGCGGGGUUGGUGCAAGCAAAAGCUUGGCGCAAAUGCCAUUCUGGCGGUGUCUCUUACAGCUGCAAAGCGGGAGCGAGUGUCAAAAACAUUCCUCUUUACAAGACAUAUGAACUGUUGAAAAAAGGUCAGAAGACGCUUUAGAUAUAUUAUAUUGGGUUUUUUAAAAAGCUGAAAACUUGAGGAGAAAAUGGAAGUUGUAAAUGAACAAGAUUCUCAUCAUCCACUCCAUCCUGUUCGUGCUUCAACUCCUUAACAUAUAAACAGAUACACGGAGUUCACCAGCGGGAUUUGAUAAUGAAGUUUUAAAUGUUGAAUUUGAGAAAAUGGCUAAAGCUUUUGUGGUUGGAGUUUCCACAUAUUCACAAUCUUUGCCUCUUACGAGGAGGUGAUCUAUCAAAAGUCAUAGAAUCCUUCAAAGUCAUGGACUUGAUGCACUAUCUAAACAAAAUCAAUAAGGGGAUACUUAUCUAUAUGUUGCUGCAGAGAAUGGGCAUGUUUAUGUAGGGAGCUUUUCGAACACGCUUUCUAUCUUUGAUAAUGGAAUUUUCUUCAAAAUGAACUCGACUUGAAUAGAUGAUGCUUAGGGACCGUGGUUGGUCAUGCAAGGCGUGAGGAAAAAAGCUUGUUUGUUUGGCAUUGAUAUAGGCUGAUCAACAGUUCGGUUAUAGAAAUGGCUUUUUUGACACAUGUGCAUAUGACAUCCAUCACUUUCAAAGCAUGACUUACAACCAGUUCUGCAUAAGAGCAUAGUACCAAAUCUUACUGGCCAGUCGGAGCGGAAAGUAGCUACACAAGUAGCCCAGUCAAGUACUCUUGAACCGCCUUCAUUUGGGCCAGUCGGUUCUGUGCUGGUUAUUGAACCGACGAACCGGAUUGAUGCAUUGCUGUGGCGUACGAACGACCACACCCAUGAAAGGAAGUCCCGGAUCUGGUGGUGACGCGACUAGGGUUCCGUCGUUGGAGCUGUGACUGUGGCGUACGAACGGGUAUUCAGGUCAACGGUGGUGGUUGUGGCAGCAAGAACAAAACAUAUUGUAUUGGACUUUGCUUCUGUUGCGGGUAAAAAAUGCACUUACGACGCCCUAUGAUUGAACCAGAAAGUUUGUUGGAGGGUAUUGACAACCUAUCAAAGUCAAAGACAAAGCACACAUGAAUCGGUUGAAAAGAAGGUGAAAGUCGGUUACAAGUGGGAUUGAAAGUUUUGUGUAUAUAUAUAUAUAUCUAUUAUAUAUAUGCACCCUGCGUAAAAGCCUUGAUGGGGGGAACUCGAAGUAAUUCUGAAUAUUCUUAUUUUUGUGAUCAAUAAUGCUAUACAUCAUUGCCGGUAUUUGUGGGUUUACUAUUGUGAUUGAAAAUACCAGUUUUUAACUGUCUCCAGUUGGAAACAUACCAUAUUGAUAGGCAGGCUCCUGAAGACCCAAUACCCGACUCGACGCCUGACCCACGACCCGACCCGACCGGAGUCACAUGGGAAGCACAUGGUUCAAUUGGAUUUAGUCAAUUUCUGUCAACAUUUGAUCACAAGCAGUACCCACGUUUUCUACAUAUCAAUCAAGAGUUAUUUUAUUUCCAUGUCAAUUUUAAUCUCUUUCUUAUUUUCGUUUAUUUUGAAUUAGUCUAGAACAGUUAUUUAUGUUUCCCUAAAUGUAGCUACGUGGGUGGUUGUAUCCCCUUUCUUCCAUAUGUAUUGAACAAUUCAUGAAUGAGAAGGGCAGUGAGUUUUAGAAUGAAAAUCUUUGUGUUAAUUAUCUCAUGUUUGUGGGUUAAUUAAUUCGUCUAUGCUAGCUCAACCGUGGC
rnacentral:lncRNA from 1 species